CACACAGUGUAGCGCUCGGUGCGAUAACCGGUUGGCAAAGGGAUCGGCCGCGGCAACCGGUGAGGAUCCGCAGCUCCAAACCGCCACCACCACCAUCGCCGCCGCCGCGGCGCAUGCAGCAGCCGGCACGACGAUGGGGGAGCUAGACGCGCUGCCGCCGCUGCCGCUCACCCUUGGCCCACCGCAUCUGAUCCCGCCGGCGCCCACGCGAGACCCUCGGGCCCUCGCCUUCCUCCCCGACCUCGGCGGCCUCCCCUGGGUCGCCUACGCCGCCGGCUCCUUCCUCGUCGUCUCCCACCUCCCAUCCCCUCCCCGGGGCGGCAGCGACACCGGCAGCAGCUACGCCGCCGCCGAUGACGACUCCCCAUUCUUCCGCCAGGUCAUCGACCUCCGCGCCCCCGUGUCCGCCGUCGCCUGGUGCGGCCACGGGGGAGGCGAGCUCGCCGCCGCUGCCUCCAACUCCGUCUCUGUCUUCGAACCCGCGCCCGCCUCUUCCCCAGGUUCGUUUGGUUGGCUCUUGAGAUGGUCCAUCACCGAGACCUUCGCCAUCGCCGCCGUGGCCUGGACAGGCUCCGGCAUUGUGGCGGUUGGCGCCGGUGUUUCCAUGUGGGUCAGAGCGCAGUCCUCCUGGAAGCUCUCCUGGAGGUUCACACCGCAGGUGCCACAGUCCCUCGUCUCCACUACCCGCUUCACACAGGGCCCUGUUGCGACGGUGGCAGCUGAUACUCUUGCCGAGGGCAGCGUGCCUGUUCUCGUAUUUCUGAAUGAUGCCAAAAGGGGGCUGGAGCAAGCAGAGCUCGUGCAUCCUCAGCCUGUCUGCAUGAUCCAGUGGAGACCCUGGUCGUUAUGCGUCAGUUGUCGGUCUGAGGUGAGUAGAGAGAUCCUCAUGACGUGCUGCUUGGACGGGACUGUCCGGCUUUGGAGUGAGGAUGAUGUGGCCAGGUCGAAGAAGCAGCGUGGUUUGCAAACACCAUUCAGCGUUAUUGCAGUAAUCGAGGUGAACAACAUUCUGAAUGGAGUCCUUGGAGUUGAUAUUACUGUGAGAUGGUCUAUGGAAACUGGCAGUGUCAUGUCGAGAGAUGAAGAAGGUAGAUUUGAGUUAUUUUCAGAUGAUUCGAGGGAGAACCGGCCUGGUAAAUGUGAGUGGCUUGCGAGUGUUGGCCCUGGGCCUUGUGUUAACUUUUGGGCUGUCCACUGUCUUGAUGAUGUAUCUCCACCAAGGUAUCCGCGGAUUACUCUAUGGAAACAGGUCAAACUGCAGGGCUGUGGGGAGUCUUCUGUUAACUCAAGCCCCCCAAACUCUAUAGAACAGUCAAUUUUUGUCGAGGCUGUCAUCUCAAGAAGGCUAUGUUCUGGCCCACCUACAACAUCCUCUUUGCUUCAUUUGCUGCCUGACGAUUCAUUCAUUUGGUCAGGCUUAUCCACCAGUCUGUCAUCGGAUACUGGGACCCAUGUUUCAAGUGAUUCUACUAAAAGCAUCUCAUGUUGUGUGACUAAAACUGUCAAACAAGAUGGGCAUAAGGGCAGCAUCAGACAGGUGUCUGUCCAUCCUUAUAGCUGCGAAAUAGAGCUAGCUGUUUCCAUGGAUUCUAGCAGAAUGUUAUUUUUCUGGUCUCUGUCAACCUUCUCAACUCUCAUACCGACAUUAUAUGUGCCUGUGUAUCCUUUAUGGAAGCUUUUGUCCACAUUUGAUUUGCGUGCCAUUUCUGCAGAUGUGCAGUACUCAUGUUUGUGUUGGGCGCCUUCUGUUAGUCAUGAUAAUAGAUUUUUUGUCCUUGGAGGUGAAAAUGGAGCCGAUUGUUUCAUAGUCAGAAUACAGAAAGAAGAGGUUCUUUCAUGCCAGAAGAUUUUCACAAUCCCCUUCCUUGGAGAGAUAAAUGCAGAAGGACCACCUGACAGCAUUCAUACCAUACCUUUACCUUCUAAUUGCAGCGGGUGUUUUAUGAACAACAACUUCCUAUUAGUAUGCAUAUGGAGGAAGAGCUUCCAAGUUUUCUCAUGGAAAGUAGUUUUGCAUUCAGAAAAUCAAUAUGAUAACGGAAGAUGUUUGUGUGGUUUUGCUGCUAGCUCUCUUUCUACCACAAAGCAAGGAAGGCAUGUAAGUUGCUUCGAAGGUGAAAUGUUUUCAGCAGUUGUUUGUGAAGGUUCUUCGGUCUUUCCUUCUGGCCUGGAGGGAGAAUAUCCCACAUGCAUUUCUGUAAUGCCGCUGAACAAUACUGUAUUACCUAUACAACAACAUGGCCCUUACAGAACUGUUCCAGGUUAUCAUAUUGCUACUGGGUGCUCUGAUGGCACUGUGAAACUUUGGAAGAUGACUUGUGCAGAUAACUCUUUGCAGACUGAGAAAGAGAGACACAUCUGGGAGCUAGUAGGCAUGUUUGGUGCUCAUCGAGGACCAAUUACCACAAUUUUACUGUCAAGUUGUGGUAGAGUUAUUACUGUUGGCAGAGAUAUUCAGAAGAACAGCACCUCCAUUCAUAUCUGGGAAGCAGUAAAACUUAUGGGGGAUGGCAGUUUUCUGCUAGAAGAUGCACUAAUGUCUCAAGACCAUAUUGUUGGUUUAGAUGGGCUGUCUUUAGGUGAUGGGCGCUUUCUACUUGCAGUGCAUCUACCUAAUGAGUUGCGUAUAUAUUCUCACAAGCACCCUUCCUUCCGGAAUGUACUACACACUGAGAAUUCAAAAGAAGAGGGUCUUUGGAGCUGUAUUGCAUUAUACCACUCUCAUCAUGACAUUGCUGACUUUCUAUGGGGGCCAAAGGCAACUAUCGUGCUUGUUCAUGAAAAUCAUCUUUCACUCUUCAGUUCAUGGCUAGUAACAGGAGCUGAUGAGAACAUUACCCAGAUACACGCUUCUCCUAUAGAUGUACAUGAGGUGUUGCCAUGUAUUAACAAUUUUAAUGAAACUACUUUUGGUAAACUCAAGUUACCAGAAAAUUGCAGCAACAGUGGGACUACUGGUAGCAAUGGUGUCCUGCUAAUGGACCAACGUGAUAGUCACUGUUCUAAUGGUUUAUGGAACUUGUUGGAUAUAGCUGAUAAAUUGAGUGGACCUCUGGCAUCAUAUCACCCAAGAGCACUUGUCCAGUAUCUUUAUUCAGGUGAAUGGAAACGUGCGAAUGCUGCUCUGCAGCAUCUUGUUCAAUCCAUGAAAGCAAGUGAAACAUCAAAGGUCAUGCCGGAGUGCAGUUCAUACCGUAAAUCAUGCCAUAGUAUUCCUGAACUUCCUUUGUCCAAAUACUUUGCAGCCACAACGUCCAAUGACAUUUCUAACAAAGGGUUCCUGUGGGGUGAAGAUAGAAGUAACACAACCUUUAAUUUGCUGGCACCUCCAAAUUCAUUUCUUUAUAUGGAUGGUAAUUUAGGUAUCAACACUACCUCUAGUGCAUCUAAACAAUCAGAGAUAACUGAGCUCCUUGAUAAGAAUUUCAACAUGUAUGCCAUAAGUGACACUGAGAGAACUCAGAUACUUGCAAUUUCUGAUCUUAUGGGUGAAAUAACUGAUCAGAGCCGUUCUUCUCCCUACAAAAGCCUUGAUGAAGCAGGAAGAAGGUUCUGGGUUGCUGUGCAGUUCCAACACCAUUACGCUCUUAGGAGAUAUGGAUAUUUGUCGAGUACUGAAGGGUGCCAUGUUGAUUCUGCUUCCAUUGCAUGGGCCUUCCAAUCUGAUUGUCAGGAUGAUCUACUUAAUUCAGUGCUUCCUGCAGAACCAACUUGGCCAGAGAUGCAAAAGCUUGGCAUAGGAUUAUGGUAUACCAAUGUGUCCCAGCUAAGGACAAGGAUGGAAAAGUUGGCAAGGUUGCAAUAUCUUAAAAGCAAGGACCCCAAGGAUUGUACUCUGCUCUAUAUAGCAUUGAACAGAAUAAAAGUGUUGGUUGGCCUCUUCAAGGUUAGCAGAGAUGAAAAGGAUAAACGUCUACAUGAGUUUCUCUCCAGGAACUUCCAGGAAGAAAGACACAAAGCUGCUGCUCUAAAAAAUGCUUAUGUACUAAUGGGAAGACAUCAAUGGGAGCUUGCUAUAGCUUUUUUCCUGCUUGGUGGUGAUACUUCGUCAGCAGUCAAUGUUUGUGCUAAGAACCUUCAAGACAAACAGCUUGCUAUUGUAAUUUGUCGUCUUGUUGAAGGAUCUGGAGGGCUCUUGGAGCGUAACCUCAUUUCUAAUGUCCUGCUUCCAGAUGCAGAUGAGAAAGGAGACAACUGGCUUUCAUGCCUGCUUGAGUGGAUGUUGGGGAACUAUUGUCAGUCUAUCAAUAGAUUAUUUGGUUGCCAUCCCAAGUUGCUGAUUGAUGAAUCCAAAUCCCUUGGUGACCAAAAUGCGUUUGCAGACCCAGAAGUGGGUCAGUAUUGUGCAAUUCUCUCGACAAAAAAUAGUUUCAGAAACUGUGUAGGUGAAGCUGUAUCUGCAAAAUUAUCUAAGCUUUCAUUUGCAACGGCUGCUUGUGCCUUGACCAAGUGUGGACUACCUCUUGAAGCACUUGAAUGCCUAUCUAGUAACUCGAACAUAGAUGCCAAGGACAGCAUCAGCUCACCUGAUGGUGGAGAUUACAAGAUUUUUGAUGGAAUACUGAGCCCUUUCUCCGCUUCUUCCAAUUGGCUAUCAUCAUCUGUCGUUAGUGAUGUUGCGUCAGACCUUAAAGUAACUAUGGCUUCAAAAUAUCUAUCUCGUCUUCUGAGAAGUCACCCGCUCUAUUCACAAUACAAUGCAUCAUUAUCUAAAGACAAGGUCCUUAAUGAGUACAACAGUCAUGAAAUUGAAGAACUUACACGUGAUGCCAUGGCAGCAAUAUUGAUAUUUGAUAAAAGGUUCUCCCUCAAAUUUGCUGAUAUAGCUGAGAAGAUCCUAAUCUUUUGUUGCUAUGAUGGUUUAUUGUUUCUCGCGUAUGCUUUGUUAUGGGGUAGUAGAUCACCAGAUGUUGGAACUGAUAGUCACGUUCUUGAAUGUGGCUCUCUCCGUCCAAUUGAUUAUCUGUUUUUGGUUUCAUGCAAAGAGAGCUGCAAGUUUCUUAGUCGAUAUGUUGUCUUCAGCUCCUUCAUGUGUUUCGUUCUGAAUAUGGAGCUCACCAAUAGUACUGCAUGCACACCUAAAGAGAAUCAUAAGUACAUUCUAGCAGGUUUAUCAAACCACCUGAAUGCCAGCAGGUUACUUCUGAGACAUGACAAUGGUGGAAAUUAUAUUCUGGAUAAUAGGCCAGCUAUGCUUACUGUUAUGGACCUGCUUGAGUACAUUAUAGAGUUUUCCUUUUCUUGGUUGUGUUGUGACAUAAAGGCAUUACUUAUCAUGACAAAUCCAGUCUUAGCUGCUUCUGUCAAUGGGGAGUCCUUUCAAGUACUAUUAGAUCGGUUGAUGCAAGCUAUACACCACAAAAGUCAUGAUAAAUCAUCCGACACGGAAUGGGGAACGUCCAGUGGUGCAUUGCAUAAGAGACAUCUAGAAGAAAGUGGUAACUCAGAUCUUCCAAUUGAUGAGAAGUGGCAUUUGAUAGGCGCUUCUUUGUGGAUUCGGUUGACAUCCAUAUUGGAACAUUAUUUAAGGGAGUUCAUUGAAAAAGAGAGAGUCGAGCAUGAAGCUGGUGGUAGUGAUUCAGAAUUCAAGGGUCUUAUAUCUUCAGUUGCUGCAAAGUCUGUUAUGGAUUCCAUAAAUUUUGUGUCAUCUUCGUUAGUAAAACUGCAUGCGUCAUUCUUGAGGAAGAGUUUACCGAUGAAUUCACAUUCUAGUGUGCUCUUCUGGUUAGAGUGUAAGUCGUCUCAGCAAUGGUCGGACAGCAAUAGUUACGAUCAGCUCUCAAGAAUUUUGCAGCUUGCAAACACUGAGAAUAUGGAGGUGUUAUUUAAUAUUUUGUGGGAAAUAUCUGUUAAUCCCGUGGAUAUUUGUAAUGCUUUUGUUAAUGAAGGAGUUAAUUGCUGUUCCCUGAGCAGCAUAAAUUUCACUAGAUCAUGGAAGGAUAUAAGAGGUUCUGCAGUUGAGUGCGAAAAUAAUAUUACUCAAAUUAGUGGAGAACAUAAAUAUAGACUUAGCUCCAAGAACAAUGAUAAGGGCCAGGGAUUGGCUGAUAAAGCCUCUGCUAAUGGGGAAAUCUUUCUUGAAACUAAAAGGAAAGAAUUGAUCGUACAAAAAGAUUUUCAAAGCCCAAGGGAACUUCUAAGGAGAAGUGGGGAGCUUCUUGAGGCGAUAUGUCCUAAUUCAAUCAAUGAGAAACAAGUUGCUAUUGCUACUAAUCGGAAGGGCCUUGUUUUCUUCAACUGGAGUGACAAGCAACAUGACAAGAAAUCCGCAGAGUAUGUCUGGUCUGGAUCUGAUUGGCCAUUAGAUGGCUGGGCUGGUUCUGAAUCUACACCUAGUCCAACUUUUAUUUCAUCUAGUGUUGGUCUUGGCAGAAGAAAAGGAUCGCAUCUUGGUUCAGGUGGAGCAACUAUAGGUUUGGGUUCUUUGGCAAAACCUGGAAGAGACCUAACUGGUGGUGGAGCAUUUGGAAUUCCAGGUUAUGCUGGUAUUGGGGCCUCUGGGUUUGGGUGGGGUGAACCCGAAGAAUUUGAGGAUUUCGUCGAUCCUCCAGCAACACUUGAGAACAUCCAUUCAAGAGCACUAUCCCACCAUCCCUCGCUGCCAUUGUUUCUUGUUGGUUCAAGCAAUACACAUGUGUAUCUAUGGGAGUUUGGUAAAGAUAGUGCCAUGGCUACAUACGGCGUUCUGCCUGCUGCUAACAUUCCACCUCCUUAUGCACUGGCUUCCAUAUCAGCUGUUCAAUUUGAUUAUUACGGACAGCGGUUUGCCACUGCGGCAUUAGAUGGUACAGUUUGUACAUGGCAAGUUGAGGUGGGUGGAAGAAGCAACGUCCAUCCUACAGAGUCAUCCGUAUGCUUUGAUGGCCAUGCCUCGGAUGUCGCUUAUGUGUCUGCAACUGGAUCAGUUGUUUCUGCAGCUGGAUAUAGUUCGAAUGGUGCAAAUGUUGUUAUCUGGGAUACACUGUCUCCACCGGCCACAUCUCAAACUUCUAUUAUGUGUCAUGAAGGAGGAGUAUCGUCUCUUUCUGUGUUUGAUAGUGAUAUAGGCUGUGGAUCUAUCUCACCGCUGGUUGUAACUGGUGGGAAAAGUGGAGAUGUAGCUUUGCAUGAUUUUCGCUUCCUUUCUACUGGAAAGUUCAAGAAUCACAGAAUUUCCACUGAACAUGAUGUCAAGGCAUCUUCCAUGCAUGACACCAAAUCUGGAACUUCUGGUGGUACCACCAGUGGGAUGAUCUGGCAUAUACCAAAGGCUCAUCUAGGUAACUCUGAGGAAGUGUCACCAAGGUAUCGACCAUCCCAAAUACCAGCUUGUUCUUAACUGGAAGCAAAGAUGGAGAUGUGAAGCUUUGGGAUGCUAAAAAUUCCCAGCUGGUCUUUCACUGGCCAAAGUUGCAUGAACGACACACUUUUUUUCAACCAACUUCCAGGGGCUUUGGCGGUGUUGUUAGGGCUGCUGUAACAGACCUCCAGGUGCUGUCUCACGGUUUCAUUUCAUGUGGGGGUGAUGGUUCUGUGAAGCUUGUUCAGGUAAAAGAUAAUCUUGCUGCAGUACAUCAACGUUAGAGCAAGCAAGAGGGAAGGGGGCAACAGGCAUGUUAGACAAGGUUAUGUUGUGGUGGACGCAAUUGGUCAUUUGAUAUCAUUCUAUUUUGUUUUUAUCCGUGAGAUGUUUUGCUCCUGUCAAGGAAUGCAUAGCAAGGAUGGAGCUAUGAUGUAAGAGCAGGGGAAAAUUCUAAGCAAUUUGAUGGGAGUCACUUGUACGUCAAGUUUGUAUACAAGCCUUAUAUGUAGUGGGUUAUACUGUCCUUGGUGUUUUUUGUAGGCCAUGCUUGUUUGCUCUUCGCACAAGGCAGUGUCGACCACAAAUUUCUGAAAUUAUGUACAGGCAGUUACCUUGUUUUGUUGGCCAAGGUAUCAAUAUUGAAGGAUAUAAAGUUGUAAACUAGAAGUAUGGAGAUACCAAAGUACACAAUUUUUUUUGUAGUUUUUGUCACAUAAUACACAAUUGUUGGGUACCCAGGCUGAUUCAUGCGGUACAAUGGCAGGGCAAGUGAACCAAAUAAAGAUUAUAUCUAGUAUGGGAGUAUUAGUGUUUGUAGUGGAGUGAAGCACUGGGAUUAAGGUCAUGAGAUAUUCAAAUCAACUUUGUGUAUUUAUGUGGCUAUCAGUUACCAUAUGGCGCAACAUGUAAGACGUACUUGGUUGAAUUAUUCUUUAGUUGUACCUGAUGUUUCUGUAUUA